GAUGAACGCUGGCGGCGUGCCUAACACAUGCAAGUCGAGCGAACAGACGAGGAGUUUGCCUGUUUGAAGCUAGCGGCGGACGGGUGAGUAAUACGAGGGUAACCGACAUAUAAGACUGGGAUAACGUAGGGAAAGCGGAGAUAACAUAGGAUAAUAUUGAGAAAGGCAUGGAUCGAUAGAGAAAGAUGGAUCUGAUAACACUAAUAGAUGGACCUGCGUCGUAUUAGCUAGUUGGUAAGGUAACGGCUUACCAAGGCGACGAUACGUAGCUGACCUGAGAGGAUGAUCAGCCACACUGGAACUGAGACACGGUCCAGACUCCUACGGGAGGCAGCAGUGGGGAAUCUUCCACAAUGGGCGAAAGCCUGACGGAGCAACGCCGCGUGUGUGAUGAAGGUCUUCGGAUCGUAAAGCUCUUUUAUUUGGGAGGAACGAACGUGUGUGAAACCCUGCACGUCUUGACGUUACCAAAACAGAAAGCCACGGCUAACUACGUG
rnacentral:rRNA from 1 species